rnacentral:rRNA from 1 species
GACGAACGCUGGCGGCGUGCUUAACACAUGCAAGUCGAACGGGCCCGUCUUCUUUUUUGGGGGUGGGUUGAGUGGCGAACGGGUGAGUAUCACGUGAGUAACCUGCCCUUCGGUCCUGGAUAACCGCUUGAAAGGGCGGCUAAUACGGGGUGGUCCGGUUGGUCCGCAUGGGCUGGUCGGGAUAGAUUCACUGUUUUUGGUGUUUCGGCGGGGGAUGGGCUCGCGGCCUAUCAGCUUGUUGGUGGGGUGAUGGCCUACCAAGGCGGUGACGGGUAGCCGGCCUGAGAGGGUGGGCGGCCACACUGGGACUGAGAUACGGCCCAGACUCCUGCGGGAGGCAGCAGUGGGGGGUAUUGCACAAUGGGCGGAAGCCUGAUGCAGCGACGUCGCGUGAGGGAUGGAGGCCUUCGGGUUGUGAACCUCUGUUUCCGGUGGUGAAGGCCCUGUCCGUGUGGUGGGGUUGACGGUAGCCGGGGAUGAAGCGCCGGCUAACUACGUG